CAUGAAAACAAUGUCCGCUCUAGCUCGUUGACACUUAAUUGAAAGAAGUAACAAACAAAGGUAACAAAUAACUUUCAUAAUACUCACGUAAUAUUCUCCCCACCAAAUUUCACCUAAGCCAACACGCAGCAUCACACGUCACAAGUAUACACAACAGACGAAAUCCCCAAGGUGAUAAUGAACGCCAAUCCAAAUUCUACAAGGAUGAGAAGGCAGUGAUAUUCGUUCAUGUGCCUCCUCUAUGGCAUCUGUAAAUGAUUCCAGGCGUUUCAGAACCCGGGCAACAGCACUUGGACAGUGGAUUGCUGAAAGGAAAAACACCAAGUUGGUACUGCAAGAAAAGGCAACUACAGCCAAUGAUGGCGAAGAUGAAAAAUCCUUUCUACACUACCCUGUCUCACAACAACAGAAUGUUCCUGGCUCAUUUGAUCCUCACUCUAGGGUCUGGGCAUCUAAUUGAAUUGGUAAUGCAGAAUGAAGUCCUCUCCAUUUUCUAUUACUUUCAUUUUCACUUGUCUUGAACUCCUUGUGGAUUAGCCAAUGAUACUUCACCAAAAAGGGAAUUAUCUUUCAAGGAAAUUUGGUGCAGAAGUAGUUGACAAUUCUGGAUUUGACACAUAGUUGUUUGAUAUUAUGUACUUGGCCUGUUGGCCAAGACUCAAACUGUUGUUCACGUAUCCUGGCUGAAACUGUUGCCCGUUUUACCGAAAUAUCGUAACUUGCUUCAACUGACAUCUCUUCCUGUGCAGAAAAACAUGAUAACAAAGGGUGUUAUCAUGUUGAAUAUUUAUUGAUCCUGCAGUAAUGUGUGGUUAAGUUUCCUCAUUUACUUCAAAAAUGUGGGUUUACAUAAUUCAAUUCAGUUUCUGUUGGUUGGAAUAUCUUUAGGUAACUGUAGAAUCUCUGAGACAUUUCUACAAUUGUUAAGGUUAAAGAAUUUUAUUCUUUUCUUUCAAGUGACUUGCCUGUUAUGUAGCUACCAAAGUUAAAUUUGUCUGUUGACCCUUGCCCUGUAAUUUUUGAUGGAUAUCUGAUGUUCAAUCAUCGAAUGUGUAUAGAAAUAUUGCAUUAACUUUUCUUUUAAUAAUAAACAAAAAUUAU